rnacentral:tRNA from 1 species
CAAAAGAUAGUUUAUAAAAAUAGUAGUUUUGGGUACUGCAGAAGAGAAUUUUUCUUUCUUUUGA